GAGCCGUGACGAAAGCUGCGCCAAAGUGAAUGGAGGGUCCUUCACAAUAAUCUGAUCAUGAGAUGAGAAAAGGCGCUCCUGAGCUC